GGUUCGCGGCGCUGGAGUAGAUCAGCAGGAGAACCGAUACUAACAAAUAGGGAGCCAGAUCCUAAAGCGGUGUGCAAGCCCCCCGCCUCAAGUGCGUAGGGGGAAGCCUGAAGCGAUAGUCGAUGGCACCCACCUAGAGAUGGUGGGUUCCCCUAGCCUCCGCUCCCGCCGCGAACCG
rnacentral:other from 1 species